UGAGAUUUGUGCUUAUUUCAAGGAAAAGUACUAAUCGUUUGAGUGUCCGGUUGCACAGCAAUAAUAAACAUACCUUUGGAAUCGGUAUGUGUAAAUUUCUGCUCCUGAGUCACAUUCGAGCAGCAGCUGGCCAGAUGACUUGAGACCAAGAAGUACUGGAUACCUGUUUUCAACUCAGUGAGGCAGACCUUUCUCCCUGAUGUGAGCAGGCACCAUCCCAUCAAUUGAAGGAAGACCUGAAUAAAACAAAACAGUUGGUAAGAGGGAACUAUUCAGGCCUGACUGCUUCAGCUGGGGCAUCACUUUUACCCCCUGCCUUUGGACUUGGACUUCAAUGGAAACGUUGACCCCUCCUGGGUCUUGAGCCUGCAGACCAGAACUCACACCAUCAGCUCUCCCGGACUCGGGCCUUUGGACUUGGACUGGAACCAUACCAUCGGCCCUCCUGGAUCUCCAGCUCACUGACUGUAGAUCUUAGCCAAACUUCAAGAUGGUCCUCAGUGAUCCCACCUUCUGGUAUUUGUGCUCUUCCUCAUUCUCUCCCACAGUGAAAAGAGCUGACUUUUACGUAACCAAUAGAAUAUCACAGAAGUGACUGAGUGUCAACUUCUGAGGCCAGAUCAUGAGACACAUUGUGGCUUCCACCUUGCUCUCUUGACUUGCUCACUCUGGACGAAGCCAGUCGCCAUCUUGUGAGGAAACUCAAACAGCCCACGAAGCUUAUGUGGGAGGAACUGAGGCAGUCUACCAACAACAAGCACCACAUGAGCCAGCCUACAUGUGGAAAACCUAGGCACAGCAAGCCUUUCAGUGACUGUAGUCCAGCCCACAUCUUGAUUGCAACCUCACAAGGAACCCCAAACCAUAAUCACCCAGCUAAGCCACUUCUGAAUUCAUGACCCAAA